AUUGAACGCUGGCGGCAGGCCUAACACAUGCCAGUCGAGCGGAGCGGCGGACGGGUGAGUAAUACCUAGGAAUCUGCAUGGUAGUGGGGGCUAACGUCCGGAAACGGGCGCUAAUACCGCAUACUAUCAGAUGAGCCUAGGUCGGAGUAGCGAGUGGUUGGGGUAACGGCUCACCUAGGCGACGAUCCCUAGCUGGUCUGGGAGGAUGACCAGCCACACUGGAACUGAGACACGGUCCAGACGCCUACGGGAGGCAGCAGUGGGGAAUAUGGCACAAUGGGCGCAAGCCGUAUGCAGCCAUGCCGCGUGUAUGAAGAAGGCCUUCGGGUUGUAAAGUACUUUCAGCGAGGAGGCGUUACUCGCAGAAGAAGCACCGGCUAACUCCGUGCCAGCCGCCGCGGUAAUUC
rnacentral:rRNA from 1 species